GGGGUUUGGACAGCCUUUAAGAACGCUUCUGACAAAAGACAGACGUAUGGAAAUCGUUCUCGUGGCUGGGAAUCUCGGGAAGCUGUCGUUAGGUUGCGAUUGACUUGAACAGGAAACACGGCGAGGAAGUGUAGAGGACCGACCGGGAAGAAGUGGACGUCACUGCGCUUUCUUUCUUGAAGGGUGCCAAUAAUUCUGGAUUUGACCAUAAACACCUGGAUUGCGUUCUGCCUCAUUUCUAUCUGAAUAUAAAGGAUAACUGUAACUCUAGCGCUUAAUGGUUAACCGUGCUGUGGUUUUGUGUCACUGUUUUCCAGUCAUGUGGUGCGACCGGUACAGACUUGCAGCCGACGGUGUUUUUGCGUCUCAGUCCAGCCCUGCUUGUUAUUGGGGAUUUCGUAAAUCUGUGUUCCGAUGAUCCUGGAGCUGUAAGACAAGACUACGCAGGCGUGAAGGGUGUGUGAACGUCAGAUCCUGCCAUCUCUGAGAGGCUACAUAAAUAAAUCCCACUUCCUCCAUCUGUACAGGAAACGAGCAUGGUGGCAUUCUUCCAUCCCAGCCCCCUUUCCCCCUUUUCCCAUCUUGACAUACACACACACACACUUGGGGCACCUCAAGUCUCGUUCCUGCUCCCAGACUAGCUGUAUUAACCCCCCAAUCAGCAGCCAUCUGGAAACCUUCUUCUGACCAAUCAGAAUAAUCUUUACCCAGAGAUCUCCACAAUAAACUAAACCUCCAAAACCUCAAGCCGCUCACAUCAAGGGCCUAAACCACAGCACCGAUUUUAAACGUAGAGUACGUAGGGAAUAAGGAACGAGAUACGAGCUGGAGAGGGGGGGGGAUGAUGCCUUUCAUGAAGAGAUCUAUAUACAUACGCACACAUGUUUACACUAUCUACAGCAUGUGAGGUAUUUCUACUGACCUGUGUAUUCAUGUAGUCCAAAGCAGAGGCAGGACCAAGUCAUUGUUUUGCAAAUAACAAAUUCUUAACUUCACUAAUCUCGAGUAAAGUGCGCUUUAGCACGUUUACGUCCAGAGUAAUGAUCAGUGUAGUCAAAUUACGCAAACCAUGCAGGCUUUUUUUAAAAUCGGUGGUCAUCACUUUAUAGACAAACCUUAUAACUCAAUGGAAACAUAUGGGGAAUUGAAAGACGCGUGACUUUGACUAUAAAGGUGCGUUCACGCGUCCAGCAACAAAGCGAAUUCAUUUUCAGUCAUGUAAAGCCUAUCCCAGGGGAUUCGGGGCGUAAGGCGGGGGACACACUGGACGGGGUGCCAUCACAUAUACACUCACACACCCAUUCGCACACUACGGACAAUUUGGAAACGUCAAUUAGCCUACAGCGCACGUCUUCGGACUGGGCGAGGGAACUGGAGUACCUGGAGGAAACCCCGAAGCACGGGGAGAGCAUACGAGCGGCGCACACACAGAAGGUGGAGGAGGUGGGACUCCAACCCGUAACCCUGAAGGUGCAAGAAAGUUCCCCUGGAAGAUGAGUCCCCUUUCCCCAUGUACAAUAUUUGAUCUGGCGGCAUGGUGGAUGUGGAAAAAAAUCUGGGAGGUUCUAUAUCGCUGUGCUCAGCUGCAUCGGCCGUGUUUGAUUUGGCUGCCGGCGCUAAAAGAUGAGCGGCAGAAGAGCCAGGAUGUUUUGAGGAUCAGAUGCCGGUCUCUGCAGUCCGGGUGGAGAAUGUCCAAACAACCACUUGCUAUUGGCACCUCUUCAAAAGAACAUCAAGAUAAAACGAAAGAAAAUAGGAGGUGUUCUAGUGGUCUGAUUUUAUAUAUAUAUAUAUAUAUAUAUAUAUAUAUAUAUAUAUA